rnacentral:tRNA from 2 species
GCGCGAGUGGCGGAAUUGGUAGACGCGCAGCGUUGAGGUCGCUGUGUCCGCAAGGACGUGGGGGUUCAAGUCCCCCCUCGCGCACCA